rnacentral:sRNA from 1 species
ACGGAGUCGACAAUAACAAACCAAGCCGCGGCGGUGUCCGCGGCCCUGCCGAGCCCUCGGCGUUGCCUCAGGAUCCCCCAGUCGCCUGGGCCCCUCGGCUCUGACAGGCCGCGGCCUUCUGUCUCCCGGCCCCAGACCCAGAGCCGAGGGGCCUGCUCGCGUCCUUCUCCGCCCGGACCCCUCCCUGCCUCCUAGAGUUCGGGGCCGCGGCGGGCGGGCGCCCGGGACGCCGGCGGUUGUGUCGGCUUAGCGGUGCCGAAUGGGCGGUUGGUAACCGCCGCCGAGGACUAGGCGGCGGCGGAAGAUGGUGCCGGGGGUCGCUGGCUCUGCUGCUGCCGCCGGCGAAGGAGGAGGCGCUGCCGGUUUUCUGAGUUUAACCAGUAAUCCAUAUUAAUUGCCUGUUAAAUAUACACUAGCUUGAACUUAGAUGUUAAAUGUUAUUAUUACCAGCAUUUGUCCUUUUGUGAAAUCAGUAUCAGAAUACUUGCACUCUUUAACACAUUCUUUAUAAAAUGUAUAAAUUAUUCA